rnacentral:rRNA from 1 species
AGGACGAACGCUGGCGGCGUGCCUAAUACAUGCAAGUAGAACGCUGAAGGAAGGAGCUUGCUCUUUCCGGAUGAGUUGCGAACGGGUGAGUAACGCGUAGGUAACCUGCCUGGUAGCGGGGGAUAACUAUUGGAAACGAUAGCUAAUACCGCAUAAUAGCAGUUAUUGCAUGAUAACUGUUUGAAAGGUGCAAAUGCAUCACUACCAGAUGGACCUGCGUUGUAUUAGCUAGUUGGUGGGUAACGCUCACCAAGGCGACGAUACAUAGCCCGACCUGAGAGGGUGAUCGGCCACACGUGGGACUGGACGACGACGGCCCUAGGACCUCCGUACGGGAGCAGCAGGUAGGGAAUCGUCGGCAAGUGGACGGAAGUCUGACCGAGCGAACGCGCGUGA